GACGAACGCUGGCGGCGUGCUUAACACAUGCAAGUCGAACGGAAAGGCCCUGCUUUUGUGGGGUGCUCGAGUGGCGAACGGGUGAGUAACACGUGAGUAACCUGCCCUUGACUUUGGGAUAACUUCAGGAAACUGGGGCUAAUACCGGAUAGGAGCUCCUGCUGCAUGGUGGAGGUUGGAAAGUUUCGGCGGUUGGGGAUGGACUCGCGGCUUAUCAGCUUGUUGGUGGGGUAGUGGCUUACCAAGGCUUUGACGGGUAGCCGGCCUGAGAGGGUGACCGGCCACGUUGGGACUGAGAUGCGGCCCAGACUCCUACGGGAGGCAGCGGUGGGGAAUAUUGCACAAUGGGCGGAAGCCUGAUGCAGCAACGCCGCGUGCGGGAUGACGGCCUUCGGGUUGUAAACCGCUUUCGCCUGUGACGAAGCGUGAGUGACGGUAAUGGGUAAAGAAGCACCGGCUAACUACGUG
rnacentral:rRNA from 1 species